rnacentral:ncRNA from 1 species
AAUAAAUCGUUGAGCAGAAAGAGUAAUUGAUUGAACGCUUAUAGCGAGGUAACACAGAGUGGAAGGUUACUAAGUAGAAGUCAAUGAAGCGCGUCUGUGAGAGUCCAUUGGAACUAAAAGUAUAAUGGAACGUGACCUGCGUUAAAGGAAAGAGUGGUUAGAAGAUUUCUAACAACGAGAGUGGUACCGCGUAUAUAUACGUCUCUGGA